rnacentral:misc_RNA from 1 species
GAACGGGUACCACUCGGAGUGAACGGGGCUGCGAUUGGGUUCGACCUGUAGGGGAUCACGAACUGUGAGCGGUUCUGAUCACCAAUCUUGAGCAGGCCCGAGGGCGGGGCUACGCGAGUGUAGCAGCCCCUCCCUUCGGGGCAGCGUCCUGGUAGGCGCGCAUGCGGUAGCUCCUGCCACGGAUGUUCAGGACGGCGGCGUUGCCGAGGAGCCGGUCGACGAUGGCGGCCGCGACGACCGGGUCGGCGAAGACCUGGCCCCAGUCGCCGAAGCCGCGAUUCGAGGUCAGGAUGAUGGAGCCCUUGUCGGCGCGGCGGCUGACGACCUGGAA